AAUGAACGCUGGCGGCAGGCCUAAAACAUGCAAGCCGAACGGAAAGCCCCUCGGGGGUACAGGAGUGCCAAACGGGUGAGUAACACGGGGGUGAUCUGCCCUGCACUUCGGGAUAAGCCGGGGAACCUGGGUCAAAUACGGGAUGGGACCCGGGGAGACAGGCCCGGGGGGGGAAGGCUUUUGGGGGUGUGGGAUGGGCCCGCGGCCUAUCAGCUGGUUGGGGGGGUGAUGGCCUACCAAGGCGAGGACGGGUAGCCGGCCUGAGAGGGUGACCGGCCACACUGGGACUGAGAUACGGCCCAGACUCCUACGGGAGGCAGCAGUGGGGAAUAUUGCACAAUGGGCGCAAGCCUGAUGCAGCGACGCCGCGUGAGGGAUGACGGCCUUCGGGUUGUAAACCUCUUUCAGCACCGACGAAGCGCAAGUGACGGUAGGUGCAGAAGAAGGACCGGCCAACUACGUGCCAGCCGCCGCAGUAACAC
rnacentral:rRNA from 1 species